AGUACUCGAGCGGCGAACGGGUGAGUAACACGUGGGUAAUCUGCCCUGCACUCUGGGAUAAGCCUGGGAAACUGGGUCUAAUACUGGAUAUGACCUUUCUCCUUAUGGGGUUUGGUGGAAAGUUUUCGGUGUAGGAUGAGCCCGCGGCCUAUCAGCUUGUUGGUGGGGUGAUGGCCUACCAAGGCGACGACGGGUAGCCGGCCUGAGAGGGUGAUCGGCCACAUUGGGACUGAGAUACGGCCCAG
rnacentral:rRNA from 1 species